rnacentral:rRNA from 1 species
AGAUUGAACGCUGGCGGCGUGCUUAACACAUGCAAGUCGAGCGGUAACGCGGGAGCAAUCCUGGCGACGAGCGGCGAACGGGUGAGUAAUGCUUGGGAAUCUGCCCAUUAGUGGGGAACAACCAGCCGAAAGGUUGGCUAAUACCGCAUACGCCCUACGGGGGAAAGCGGGGGAUCGAAAGACCUCGCGCUAAUGGAUGAGCCCAAGUCGGAUUAGCUUGUUGGUAGGGUAACGGCCUACCAAGGCGACAAUCCGUAGCUGGUCUGAGAGGACGACCAGCCACACUGGGACUGAGACACGGCCCAGACUCCUACGGGAGGCAGCAGUGGGGGAAUCUUGCGCAAUGGGCGAAAGCCUGACGCAGCCAUGCCGCGUGAGUGAUGAAGGCCUUAGGGUUGUAAAGCUCUUUUGUCAGGGAAGAUGAUGACGGUACUGAAGAAUAAGCACGGCUAACUUCGUGCCAGCAGCCGC